rnacentral:hammerhead_ribozyme from 1 species
AUCUAGAUGACGAGUCCCAGAUAGGAUGAAAUAUGGAUCCUGGAU